AUGGAGUCGGCGAUGACGACGUGGACGGCCGUGGCGUCGUCGGUGGCGGACCAGGGGCGGAAGCUGGCGGCGGCGGCUGGGCCGACGUGCUCGACCGUGGCGGAGAAGGGGCGGCAGGCGUGCUCGACCGCGGCGGAGACGGGGCGCGAAGCGUGCUCGUGCGCGGCGGAGGUGGGGCGCCAGGCGGGGACGGUGGCCUGGAAGCUGACGCGGAGCACGGGGAAGGCGGCGUGGAUCGCAGGGACGAGCUUCCUGGUGCUGGUGCUGCCGCUCAUGAUCCUGACGGACCGUGAGGCCGCGUUCAACGAGAUGGAUAACGCGCGGACAGAGUACCAGACCCUCUUGGGCCCUCCUUCCUGGUAG
rnacentral:rRNA from 1 species